rnacentral:misc_RNA from 1 species
AUUUCCCCAAUGGGUUCUCCGGAUUUCUGGAGACUUGUAGGGGUUGUGGGAUUUUUGAUGUGUCGUCUCCGGACGGGCGGUGCAGGGUAGUCGAGUUAGACUUGGUGGAAUUCCGUCGAUAGGAGUUCCGUCGACUCUGGUCGGCUGUGUGUUGGACGGUGCAGGGUAGGCUGCUUGGACAUGGUCGGUUCGAGGAUCGAUUCGAGGGCCGGCGCCUGUCGAUGAUGUGUGAUGCAUGCGGUCUAGGGUAGGCUGGUUUGUCUUGGUCCAAUUUGAUGUCGGCUCCCGUGCAGGCCAGAGUGAAGGGGGGUCCAGGGUAGGUACAGGGUAGGCAGCUUAUAUUUGGUCGGUCUGGAGGUCGAUUCUCUGGCUGGCGGAUCUGACACUGUCGAAACGAGAUGCGAGCGGUGUAGGGUAGGCUAGUUUCGUCCUCGCCAGGUUGCGAUUUGGACGAGAUAUGUGGUUUAGGGUAGGCUCUAGGGUAAGUAGAAUUCGAGUUUCGUCGCCGACAGUUUUCUGUGUGUGUAUGGUAGGUGCAGGGUAGGCAAAUCUCUCUCCGGCCAGUACUUGUCUCGUGGUCGUGAGUCGAUUUUUUUGUUUU